CUCAAAUAGCGGAUGUAAUUCACUUAUUUACAACUGGCCCUUGUCGUUUCACUGCAAGGCUUCUCAUUCAAGAGCUGAUCCUCUCCAUGUCGCUCCUCCUUCCCGAAGCUGGCCUCCUGUUUCAGAAGUCUACAUGUUCUCAUAUUCAGCUGCGUCAGGCAUUUCUGUAAACUCUUUCACCGAGCUAUGGCCAAAAGGGAUUAAAUAG
rnacentral:lncRNA from 1 species